GACGAACGCUGGCGGCGCGCUUAACACAUGCAAGUCGAGCGAGAACCAGGGCUUCGGCCCUGGGGACAGCGGCGAACGGGUGAGUAACACGUGGAUAACCUGCCCUCGGCACCGGGAUAGCCCGGGGAAACCCGGAUUAAUACCGGAUGGCCCUUCCGGCUCCCGAGCCGGUCGGAAAAGGUAGCUUCCGCCUCCUGCCGAGGAUGGGUCCGCGGCGGAUUAGCUUGUUGGCGGGGUAACGGCCCACCAAGGCGACGAUCCGUAGCUGGUCUGAGAGGACGAUCAGCCACACUGGGACUGAGACACGGCCCAGACUCCUACGGGAGGCAGCAGUGGGGAAUCUUGCGCAAUGGGCGAAAGCCUGACGCAGCGACGCCGCGUGAGGGAAGAAGGCCUUCGGGUUGUAAACCUCUUUCAGGAGGGACGAAGCUACUCGGGUGAAUAGCCCAGAGGGUGACGGUACCUCCAGAAGAAGCCCCGGCUAACUACGUGCCAGCCGCCGCCGUAA
rnacentral:rRNA from 1 species